ensembl:lncRNA
UUUGGCCACAGACUUCUUGUAACACAGAUAGACAGAGGAACCCCACUGAAAACAGAGACGACACGUGUUGUUUGGUUUGGAAUCACACCACACUCUUUCUUUCCAAACACACAGCGCCGGGAAUCAGUGGAGUAAGGUGUUGACAAUAGCAGUCAACGGUGGACCCUGAAUUAUGACAGGGGAGGGGACAGAGGAGGGGUCAGGGGAGGGGACAGUGGAGAGGGGACAGUGGAGAGGUCAAGGGAGGUGACAGUGGAGGGGACAGUGGAGAGGUCAGGGGAGGGGACAGUGGAGGGGUCAGGGGAGGGGACAGUGGAGGGGUCAGGGGAGAAGACAGUGGAGAGGUCAGGGGAGGGGACAGUGGAGAGGUCAGGGGAGGGGACAGUGGAGGGGUCAGGGGAGAAGACAGUGGAGAGGUCAGGGGAAGGGACAGUGGAGAGGUCAGGGGGAGAGCAUUUACAGUAAGGGGUUUGGUAGAAGA